rnacentral:rRNA from 1 species
AUGGAAAUCAAUGAAAAAAGGGGAUGGCCGGGGAUGCUAGGUAGUCUUGAUUGCAUGCAUUGGACAUGGAAAAAUUGCCCAAAGGCAUGGCACGGCAUGUAUUGCGGUAAAAGCCGUGAUGCUACCAUUGUGCUUGAGGCCGUAGCAUCGGAGGACACAUGGAUUUGGCAUGCAUUCUUUGGGUUGCCGGGAACACUCAAUGAUAUCAAUGUCCUCAAUAGAUCUCCUUUGUUCAAAAGAUUAAUUUCUGGGGAUGCUCCAGCUUGCAACUACAAAAUCAUGGACAAUGAGUACUCAAUGGGAUACUAUCUCACCGAUGGCAUCUAUCCCGAAUGGGCAACUCUUGUGAAGUCCAUCAAGGAGAAAAAUGGGGUGCCCUUAACAAGAAAAGAGGCUCAUUUCACCAAGGCACAAGAGGCAGCCCGCAAGGAUAUUGAGAGAGCUUUCGGUGUUUUGCAAGCAAGGUUUGCCAUAGUUCGGGGUCCAGCUCGGUUUUGGGACAAAAAAACCUUGGUGAACAUCAUGAAAUGUUGUGUGAUUCUACACAACAUGAUCCUAGAGGAUGAGAGAGGGUUAAACCUCCCUUGUUUCUAUGACAAUGUUGGUACCCGUGUGCAACCGGAAAGAAACCCUUCUCGCAUACAUGCUUUUCUUCAAGCACAUCGUGAGAUUGAGGAUGCAACCACUCAUGGUCGGCUCCGGGAUGAUCUAGUAGAGCACCACUGGCAGUUGGAUGGGCGGCGCAUUGUUUUA